UGAAGUGUCUCUUGCCCUCUCCCACCUCUAAAUCCAUCAUUUCAGGCACAGUUGACCACAGUUGACUUUUCUGACUGAUAGAUGAAUCUGGUUAUGCACUGAUCAAGUCGAGCCUCAAACUCCUGAUGAAAUGGCUCAAUGAUGCAACCCUAGCUUCCAUAAGCUCAAUAUAACCAUAUGAUGAUCCCCAUAUCCAUUGUAGAC
rnacentral:lncRNA from 1 species